rnacentral:rRNA from 1 species
CCAGCAGCCGCGGUAAUUCCAGCUCCAAUAACGUAUGUUAAAGUUGUUGCAGUUAAAAAGCUCGUAGUCUGACUCUUGGCCUGGCGAUGAGCGCGGGAGGCCCAAAAGGCUUCCACGUGCGAUUCGUUGGCCAUGUACUUCGGAGGAAAAUGUCUGCUUUUCAUUAAGUGGGCAUUGGAUUCCGAUAGUUUACUUUGAGAAAAAUAGAGUGUUCAAAGCAGGCGAUUUGCCUUGAAUACAUUAGCAUGGGAUAAUAAAAUAGGACAUUGGUUCUAUUUUGAUGGUUUAAGGACCGAUGUAAUGAUUAAUAGGGACGGUUGGGGACAUUCAUAUUCCAUGGCUAGAGGUGAAAUUCUUGGAUUCAUGGAAGAUGAACUGCUGCGAAAGCGC